rnacentral:rRNA from 1 species
ACCGUAUAGGGGAGCCGUAGAGAAAUCGAGUCUUAAUAGGGCGUUUAGUUGCUGGGUAUAGACCCGAAACCAGGCGAUCUAUCCAUGAGCAGGUUGAAGGUUGGGUAACACUAACUGGAGGACCGAACCCACUGUCGUUGAAAAGCCAGGGAUGACUUGUGGAUAGGGGUGAAAGGCUAAUCAAGCCUGGUGAUAGCUGGUUCUCCCCGAAAGCUAUUUAGGUAGCGCCUCGGACGAAUACCAUAGGGGGUAGAGCACUGUUUCGGCUAGGGGGUCAUCCCGACUUACCAAACCGAUGCAAACUCCGAAUACCUAUGAGUACUAUCCGGGAGACAGACUGCGGUGCUAACGUCCGUAGUCAAGAGGAAAACAAUCCAGACCGCCAGCUAAGGCCCCAAAAUCAUAGUUAAGUGGGAAACGAUGUGGGAAGGCAUAGACAGCUAGGAGGUUGGCUUAGAAGCAGCCACCCUUUAAAGAAAGCGUAAUAGCUCACUAGUCGAGUCGGCCUGCGCGGAAGAUGUAACGGGGCUAAAACUAUGUGCCGAAGCUGCGGAUUUGACAUUAGUCAAGUGGUAGGGGAGCGUUCUGUAAGCCGAUGAAGGUGUAUUGAGAAGUAUGCUGGAGGUAUCAGAAGUGCGAAUGCUGACGUGAGUAACGACAAAACGGGUGAAAAACCCGUUCGCCGAAAGACCAAGGGUUCCAGUCCAACGUUAAUCGGGGCUGGUGAGUCGACCCCUAAGGCGAGGCCGAAAGGCGUAGUCGAUGGGAAAAUGGUUAAUAUUCCAUUACUUCUGUGUAAUGCGAUGAGAGGACGGAGAAGGCUAAAUCAGCCUGGCGUUGGUUGUCCAGGUGAAAGGAUGUAGGCAUGUAUCUUAGGCAAAUCCGGGGUACUCUAUGCUGAGAUCUGAUAGCAAGCUGUACUUGUACAGCGAAGUGGUUGAUGCCAUGCUUCCAGGAAAAGUCUCUAAGCUUCAGUUACACAGGAAUCGUACCCGAAACCGACACAGGUGGUCAGGUCGAGUAGACCAAGGCGCUUGAGAGAACUCUGCUGAAGGAACUAGGCAAAAUGGUACCGUAACUUCGGGAGAAGGUACGCUGUUGUUGGUGAUGGAACUCGCUUCCUGAGCUGACGACAGCCGCAGAAACCAGGCCGCUGCAACUGUUUAUUAAAAACAUAGCACUCUGCAAACACGAAAGUGGACGUAUAGGGUGUGAUGCCUGCCCGGUGCUGGAAGGUUAAUUGAUGGGGUUAGCGUAAGCGAAGCUCUUGAUCGAAGCCCCAGUAAACGGCGGCCGUAACUAUAACGGUCCUAAGGUAGCGAAAUUCCUUGUCGGGUAAGUUCCGACCUGCACGAAUGGCAUAAUGAUGGCGGCGCUGUCUCCAGCAGAGGCUCAGUGAAAUCGAAAUCGCUGUGAAGAUGCAGUGUACCCGCGGCUAGACGGAAAGACCCCGUGAACCUUUACUGCAGCUUGACACUGAACUUUGACCUUACUUGUGUAGGAUAGGUGGGAGGCUUUGAAGCUGGAACGCUAGUUCCAGUGGAGCCGUCCUUGAAAUACCACCCUGGUAAUGUUGAGGUUCUAACUCUGUCCCGUGAUCCGGGACGAGGACCGUGUCUGGUGGGUAGUUUGACUGGGGCGGUCUCCUCCUAAAGAGUAACGGAGGAGUACGAAGGUGCGCUCAGCGUGGUCGGAAAUCACGCGUAGAGUAUAAAGGCAAAAGCGCGCUUAACUGCGAGACCCACAAGUCGAGCAGGUACGAAAGUAGGUCUUAGUGAUCCGGUGGUUCUGUAUGGAAGGGCCAUCGCUCAACGGAUAAAAGGUACUCUGGGGAUAACAGGCUGAUACCGCCCAAGAGUUCAUAUCGACGGCGGUGUUUGGCACCUCGAUGUCGGCUCAUCUCAUCCUGGGGCUGAAGCAGGUCCCAAGGGUAUGGCUGUUCGCCAUUUAAAGAGGUACGCGAGCUGGGUUUAGAACGUCGUGAGACAGUUCGGUCCCUAUCUACCGUGGGCGCUGGAAAUUUGAGAGGAUCUGCUCCUAGUACGAGAGGACCAGAGUGGACGAACCUCUGGUGUACCGGUUGUGACGCCAGUCGCAUCGCCGGGUAGCUAUGUUCGGAAGGGAUAACCGCUGAAAGCAUCUAAGCGGGAAGCCUACCUCAAGAUAAGAUUUCCCUAGGACUUUAUGUCCUCUAAAGAGCCGUUCGAGACUAGGACGUUGAUAGGUUGGAUGUGGAAGCAUAGUGAUAUGUGAAGCUGACCAAUACUAAUUGCUCGUGAGGCUUGACUAU